UGUGGUUCUGAGAAAUCUUAAUAGGCAA
rnacentral:piRNA from 1 species